GGCGAGAUGAUGGAGCGGUCUAACAUGCUGUCUUAAGGAGAAGAUUUCUCUGCAAGCGAAAAACAUCCUCGGCAGUCCUUCGGGGCCUGGGUUCGAAUCCCAGUCUCGUCA
rnacentral:tRNA from 1 species